AUGGUGACUGUGCUGGGUGCCCAGCGGGGGGGCUGUUUGACAGUAACCGCAGGGCUGAUGGGAGCACCUGAGAGGAGCGGCUUCGUGGGAAGUGUUGGGACUAGGCCCUGGGUGUGUGGGAGCUCACGCUGCCAUGAGGACUGUUUUCGCCCAGAGGGCUUCAGUGCUUUGGGUCUGACGUGGAAAGCCCUGGUUGCGGCCGUGUCUCCGGGAGGGGACGGCACGCAGGCUCACUCUUGUUCACUGAGCUUAGCGUGAAUCCUUGCCCUUUCUUCUGAAGUUCUGUUUCCUUUUCGUGGCUCAGAGGGCAACAACUCAUGGUCCCAAGUUGCUGUUGGAGCCGCAAGUUCCAGGCAUCAGGAAAGAGGAAGGCAGGAAAAGCCCAGCGUGCAUAUUCCUGCCCUGAACAAAGUCUGAAACUAAGAAAGAAGAGAAUGGUAAUGAAUGGGCAGUGGGUGGUCCUUGGCAUACCUCCCGGCACUCAGGUAGCAGCCGGUAAACGGCACCCUACUUCCUUUCUGCAGAGCAUCAAGAAGGGGGAAGGGAAGUAAUACUUACUAAGAGCAUGCAGGAUUCCAGGGACCAUGCUGGACAUGUGCACAUCAUCUCAUUCAAUUAUCAUAAUCCUGGGAGUGAGGCCGAGCAACAGAUCAGGUAGGAAGAGAGGCUACAACUGGAGGGGUGGG
rnacentral:lncRNA from 1 species